GAAAUGCGAUAAGUAGUGUGAAUUGCAGAAUUCAGUGAAUCAUCGAAUCUUUGAACGCACAUUGCGCCCCUCGGUAUUCCGUGGGGCAUGCCUGUUCGAGCGUCAUCUACACCCUCAAGCUCUGCUUGGUGUUGGGCGUCUGUCCCGCCUCCGCGCGCGGACUCGCCCCAAAUGCAUUGGCAGCGGUUCCUUGCCCCCCUCUUUGCGCAGCACAUUGCCAUUCGAGGCGGCGGCGGCCCGCGUCCAACAAGCUCAACCCCCCCGUCUUUGACCUCGGAUCAAGUAGAGAUACCCGCUGAACAUAAGC
rnacentral:misc_RNA from 1 species